UGUUCGUUUUACACAUAUAUGUUUUGUUAAAACAACACAAAUAUAUUUAGUUUUCCGACAAAACACAAUUGUAUUGUGUUUAAUCAACUUAAAAUGUUUAAUUUUAAAUUUUACUUAAUUAUCAAUCGUUAAAGUAACGUAAAGGGUUUAAUUUCGUGAUUAAAAAAAAACCGGAAGUGACGAUUUCCAACGCAUUUGAUGACGGUGUGGAGGGGAGCAAGAGGUAUCAGUCAGGUUUGUGCAGAAUUUGAGACAUCCAGAAUUACCAUAGGCCCAUUAGAAUCAACAAUCUUUGCCAAACUUGAUUCGGACUGCAAAAUUUACGAAGAUGUUUUCAUACUGAAGAAGAGACCUUGGACAAAUACUGAAACCCUCUUGGUGCCCACUACACAGGCAGGGGUGUCCAGACCUGCUCUAGGAAAGCCAGUGUUCUGUGGGGUUCAGCUCUAACACACCUGCCUGGAACUUCAGACUAAUGAAAUUGAAGUAUCCAAAUGAAGACCCUAGCAGUAUGGAGUAUAUGGUGAGUUCAAGGUUAAUAAAUUAUUUGUUAAAGUUAAUACACAAUAAUUUGAGUUCUCCAUGCUUUUAAAUACUUCUAGGA